GUUUUGAAUUAAAAGCAACCACCGUUAAGUUCAAAAAUCUAAAACAAAACUUUCAACAACGGAUCUCUUGGUUCUCGCAUCGAUGAAGAACGCAGCGAAUUGCGAUACGUAGUAUGACUUGCAGACGUGAAUCAUCGAAUCUUUGAACGCAUAUUGCGCCUUGGGGCAUUCCCCAAGGCAUGCCUGUUUGAGCGUGAUAUCUUCUCACCGUUGGUGGAUUUGUUUCUAAAUAUCAUGCCACAGUGAAGUCUACGCUUUCACUGCUUUUUCCCCUCAAAUCAGGUAGGACUACCCGCUGAACUUAAGCAUAUCAAUAAGCGGAGGAAAAGAAACCAACAGGGAUUGCCUCAGUAACGGCGAGUGAAGCGGCAAGAGCUCAACUUUGGAAUCGCUGCGGCGAGUUGUAGUCUGGAGGUGGCCGGUCCCGGCGCCAGCGCGCAGCCAAGUCCUUUGGAACAAGGCGCCUGAGAGGGUGACAGCCCCGUGGCAGUUUGUGCUGGUGCCGCCUCGGCCCACCGACGAGUCGAGUUGUUUGGGAAUGCAGCUCUAAGUGGGUGGUAAAUUCCAUCUAAAGCUAAAUACCGGCGAGAGACCGAUAGCGAACAAGUACAGUAAUGGAAAGAUGAAAAGCACUUUGAAAAGAGAGUGAAACAGU
rnacentral:rRNA from 1 species